ACCGGGAUAGCUCAGCCAGGUAGAGCGCGUUGCAGUGUCCCCCAAUCGUCGUUCUCCGACCCAGGUCGGCAGUGAGUGUUGGGGUUCCUUCGGUUAACGACGUAGUCGCAGGUUCGAAUCCUGUUCCCGGUG
rnacentral:tRNA from 1 species